GGCUGGUCCGAAGGUAGUGAAUUAUCUCACUUGACUGUUCACAGUCAGUUACAGAUUGAACUCCUUGUUCUACUGCUUAACCCUCCUCUUCACUGCUGCACUGGGACUAGUCUUUA
rnacentral:Y_RNA from 1 species